ACUAAGCUUAAAGAAUAUUUUAAGUAAAAAUUAAUGUCCUAGAAAUGGUACUUCUUAUCAUGAGAUGGAUUUUUUUCAUUUUGAAAUUUAAUAUUAACCUAAGGCUCUUCUGAUUGAAAAGAAAAAUUUGACAAAAGACAGCUUGAAACAUUUCGUGUUUUUCUGUGAUGGCUCAAUAUUCUAGGCAUAACCCUAAGUGAAGAUAGUUGAGUUUCCCUUUGCUAUGGUAGAAGCACUAUGUUGUUGGGAGCCCAGUUGGAUUUACCCAUGAGUCAUGCUGGGGAAAUUGAGGGAAUAGGAAUAUAAAUCAUGUGCGGCAAGAUUUUUCCUGAUAUGUGACACUCAGAGGCCUUUUGUUGUUGUUGUUGUUGUUUGUCUCCUGAGGGAAAAAGUCAACUAGAAUUUGUUUAGUCGUUUUGUUUCCUGAUCUUUAUAUGGGUUUUUGAAGAUUUUUAUAACGCAUGUUUAUCGCUCUAUGUGUGUAUAUGUGCUUAAUUUAGAGUAUAUUCUUAUUAAAGGAGAAAUAAAUGAUUUUUACUAUCAUUGGAAUUUCAUUGUAUGGCUGGUAUGAGGGAUGGCUCCCUUUGUUGUAGCUAACUAUAACCUCAUCACUUAAAGAGUAUAUUAGAAUUACAUUUGUUUUAGUCUAAUACAAGAUUAUUUAGGAAUAAGCCAAAUUCUAUCAAAGUUUAACUAGGCAAAAGGUUGCAAUUUUGUCCAAAUGACACUCUCAUCUGAGGAAGCUAUUUAAUAUGGAUUUGAAUUUCUGAGGGCUAAAUUUGUUGACCAGUCUGUUUUUACUAAUUAUAAAAUUUUAAUGACAUAUAUUUCAAAAGAGAAGUCUUACAUUAUUUUUGCUUUUUUUCCCCAGUUGUAUAUAUCUUGAGUUGUUGGACAGCUACUAAAGAGCCAUUGGUUUUGUAGGUGUAAAUAAGUCAUCUUUGAUGUUGGAAUUUUUCUUUUGCCUAGAGCUUGAAUUUUAAAUUAGUAUAUUAUACGUUUGUAAACUAUAUGAGACGUUGUGUAGAAUAGGGAUGUAGCUGUGGGGUGGGGAACGAAGUUAGCACUAUUUCUCAAGAGUAGGUUUUUUUUUCCUUAAUUGAACUCAAAUACAAAGCAAAUGGUUAGUUAUUACUGUACACAUAAGCUUGGAGUUGGAGUGAAGCUCAGUAGGCUAGGUGUUUGUAAAUUAUUUAUCUUUCACUUUGGAAACCACAUCUCUUACUAAAGCAGUAAGGUACAGGUGGACUUGUACCAUACCUCCUCCUUUGGAUUUCCAUUCUGUGCAUUUUCUGUUUCAAAAACCAUUGUAGGCAGAUGUAAUUUGUAGAAAUAGAGUGAAAAAGGAAUAUUUACACAUCAGGUUAAAUUAAUAACACAGUGUCCCGACUGGUAGAGGAAAAACUACAUUUAAAAAUUGGAUUGAAAUAUAAAUAUAACUCAUUGCCUAAGAGUAAAACAAAAAUUUAUCAAAGUUUCAUUUUUCUAGAAUGUAAGAAUUAACAUUGUCUGUCAUAAACAGCAAUAUAGUUUGUUUAAAACAGUGAUUCUUAAUUGGGGCACAUUUUUGUCCCAUGGGGGCAUUUUGUGGAGACAUUUUUGAUUGUCACAACUGGUUGCUGGGGAGCAGGGGAGUAUUACUGGCAUCUAAUGGGUAGAAACUAAGGAUGCUACUAAAUAUCCUGCAGUGUACAGGACAGCUCUCGCAACAAAGAGUUAUCUGGUCCAAAAUGUCAGUAGUGCUGAGGUUGGGAGAUCCUGGUUUAAAAGUUGGAGAAAAUAGCUAAUUUUACGAAUGCACUUAAAAUUGUGAUUCAUCAUGCACUAGCUUGUUUGUAAGUUGAUUGGUUGCUGUUAAUUUUUUUAUUAUUGGAAAUUUUAAACAUGUAUAGAAAUAGAAUAGUAUAAUGAAUACUGUGUACCCAUUAUUCUACUUCAGUUCUUUUUCCUGGUCAAAUUUGUCUUAUCUGUACCCUCUUGCCUCCCAUUUCCUCCACUGACUUACUUUGAAGCAGAUCCAGAUAUCAUAUUAUUUAAUCUGUAAAUAUUUUAGUAUGUAUCCUAGGAGAUAAGUACUCUUUUCUAAAAACUUUAUUGUACCUUUAGCACAUGUAGGCACAAUAAUUUAACAGUGAUUUUUUAAAAAUCUAAUUUUAUUAAAAGUUUUGAGGUUAGCUGAAGAAUAAAGAGAAUAAUAUAUUUUGUUGUCUAGUUAUCUCAUUCUGUAUCUGUAUUAAUUAUUUUCAUCUCCAUCAGGAAGUGAGCUCAAGAUAGUAUAGAUUACAGGUUGCAAACUAUAGCCCGCAGGCCAAGUCCAGCCCUUCAUUUGUAUUUUAAAGUAUUAUUGGAACACAACACACCCAUUACUUAAUUUUAUUGUGUAUGGCUGCUUUUGUGCUACAACUGCAGAAUUGAGUAGUUGUGUAGUUGUGAUAAGAGAUCAUAUAACCUGUAAAACCUAAAAUAUUUACUUUCUGGCCCUUCACAGAAAAGUUUGCUGGCCCCUAAUAUAGAUGACUAUUACAGAUUUUAGUUGAUUUAAGCUGUUAGUAAGCUAAAUUAUUUGCUAUAUAUUAUACCUUUCAAAUAUGUGAUAAGGUUACAUUUUUUCCCUAUUUCUUUUUCUUAGGGAAAACUCAGAGCUAUUUUGGAAAGUUGGUUGUCUCUAUGUAUGACCUACUGAGUACAGUAGGAUUACAUUCUGUUUCCUUCUUAAUGUGUAGUCAAAGGCACUGAGGACUGUGAGAUCUUAGAUCUUUUUAGGUAACCAUUUGGAAGUGAGCUACUGUGUUGUCCCUCAACAUCUCGUUUGUUGGCAGUAUCAAAGACAGGAUAAUGACCUCAAUGUUUGAGGUUUUUUGGAAUAUUUAAGAUAAAUUCGGAAGAAAGCAACAAAACCUGUAAGUUAAGGUCUUUGUUCAACUGAGAUUUUCUAAUUUAGAAUAAAAAUCUGGAAAUGAAUUGUUGUUUUCUAGUGUGUAUAUGUAUUUUACAAAAUCUUUAAACUUUCCUUGUGUAUUUCCCUUUGAAAUAUAUUUGGAUUUUAAGGUUUUUUUUUUUAAUGUAAACAAAUUGUUGACGGAACCUGCAUAAGUGUUUCGGUAGCAGUUUUCUAACAAUCAUAAAUAUAUGGUACACUUCAUAAAUAGUUCCUGUUUUUAUUCAGUGAGUGUUAGUGGAUUCCCAUUUUUAAUGGUACGAGUACCACUAGAUAGGCUUAAAAAUUUUAACAGAAAAGAAAUCCAGAUUGGAGGUUAGGAAGAUCUUACAUCUAAGAUUCUGAAUACUGAAAUGUGUUACUAGAGAGGUUAACAAUAGGUACACACAAACAUAUUUUUUUUUGUAAGAAGCUUGUUUUUCUGGAAUGUUUAAAUAUAAUGCUACUCAGAGGAACAAGAGUUGAAUCUUAAAUCUUUCCUGUGGUAGUUUGCCAGUUCCUUUAUGCUUAAUGUUAAGAGGUAACAAAAACUCCUAACCUUGUUUAGCUGGAAUGUUAGUAAGGUAGAAGUACUCCUGAGUCUUGGAUUCCUACCUUUUCAAGAAUGGUUGUCAAGCCGUCAUGGACUUCUACUUGAGCGGUUUUACUUUUAGUAUCUGUUUGAGAAAAUAUGCAAAGACCAUAAACUGUUUUGAAUUCAGCAACUGUUUUGUUUAUUUGUUUUAAAUAUAUUUAACCACAGCGGUAUUUAUCUGUGUUAUCUUUGAAAAGUAGUUCAGAUAAGCUCGAGUGCCAUGUGGAGUUUCAAACCACUUGCAAAAACUAGAGUCCACCAGGGGCUACCAUGGGUUGGAGAAAGUCUGAGAGUAUGCUUACAUCUGGGUGUUAAAAUUUGAGAUGUGUAUGGAAUAAAGACAAUACCCUUAUAAUAUCCUUCUCCAUCUGCAUCUAGCAAGGUAAUGAGACUCUUUUUGGUAUGGACUGUGUUUAUUAUCUUUAUGGUGUAGUACAAGCAUUUUUUUUUUAAA